rnacentral:rRNA from 1 species
GACGAACGCUGGCGGCGUGCUUAACACAUGCAAGUCGAACGAAGUGGCGAACGGGUGAGUAACGCGUAAUCAACCUGCCCUUCAGAGGGGGACAACAGUUGGAAACGACUGCUAAUACCGCAUACUGAAGGAGGGGAUUGCGUCGGAUUAGCUAGGUGGAGGGGUAACGGCCCACCAAGGCGGAGAUCAGUAGCCGGGCUUGAGAGGAGAACGGCCAAAUUGGGAAUGGGAAACGGCCCAGAAUCCUACGGGAGGCAGCAGUGGGGAAUCUUCGGAAAUGGACGAAAGGCUGACGGAGCAACGCCGCGUGAUUGAUGACGGCCUUCGGGUUGUAAAGCUCUGUUAAUCGGGACGCGGUACCGGAAUAGAAAGCCACGGCUAACUACGUGCCAGCAGCCGCGGUAAUUC